rnacentral:rRNA from 1 species
CCUACGGGAGGCAGCAGUGAGGAAUAUUGGUCAAUGGACGAGAGUCUGAACCAGCAAAGUAGCGUGAAGGAUGACUGCCCUAGGGGUUGUAAACUUCUUUUAUAUAGGAAUAAAAUGUUCCACGUGUGGGAUUUUGUAUGUACCAUAUGAAUAAGGAUCGGCUAACUUCGUGCCAUCAGCCGCUGUACUACGGAGGGUCCGAGCGUUAUCCGGAUUUAUUGGGUUUAAAGGGAGCGUAGGUGGAUUGUUAAGUCCGUUGUGAAAUUUUGCGGCUCAACCGUAACAUUGCAGUUGAAACUGGCAGUCGUGAGUACAGGAGAGGUGGGAGGAAUUCGGAGUGUAGCGGUGAAAUGCGUAGAUAUCACGAAGAACUCCGAUUGCGAAGGCAGCUCAAUGGACUGCAACUGACGCUGAGGCUCGAAAGUGUGGGUAUCAAACAGGAUUAGAUACCCUAGUAGUC